rnacentral:rRNA from 1 species
CGUAGAGUUUGAUCCUGGCUCAGGACGAACGCUGGCGGCGUGCUUAACACAUGCAAGUCGAGCGGUAAGGCCUUUCGGGGUACACGAGCGGCGAACGGGUGAGUAACACGUGGGUGAUCUGCCCUGCACUCUGGGAUAAGCUUGGGAAACUGGGUCUAAUACCGGAUAUGACUGCAUGCCGCAUGGUGUGUGGUGGAAAGAUUUAUCGGUGCAGGAUGGGCCCGCGGCCUAUCAGCUUGUUGGUGGGGUAAUGGCCUACCAAGGCGACGACGGGUAGCCGACCUGAGAGGGUGACCGGCCACACUGGGACUGAGACACGGCCCAGACUCCUACGGGAGGCAGCAGUGGGGAAUAUUGCACAAUGGGCGGAAGCCUGAUGCAGCGACGCCGCGUGAGGGAUGAAGGCCUUCGGGUUGUAAACCUCUUUCAGCAGGGACGAAGCGUGAGUGACGGUACCUGCAGAAGAAGCACCGGCUAACUACGUGCCAGCAGCCGCGGUAAUACGUAGGGUGCGAGCGUUGUCCGGAAUUACUGGGCGUAAAGAGUUCGUAGGCGGUUUGUCGCGUCGUUUGUGAAAACCCGGGGCUCAACUUCGGGCUUGCAGGCGAUACGGGCAGACUUGAGUGUUUCAGGGGAGACUGGAAUUCCUGGUGUAGCGGUGAAAUGCGCAGAUAUCAGGAGGAACACCGGUGGCGAAGGCGGGUCUCUGGGAAACAACUGACGCUGAGGAACGAAAGCGUGGGUAGCAAACAGGAUUAGAUACCCUGGUAGUCCACGCCGUAAACGGUGGGCGCUAGGUGUGGGUUCUUUCCACGGGAUCUGUGCCGUAGCUAACGCAUUAAGCGCCCCGCCUGGGGAGUACGGCCGCAAGGCUAAAACUCAAAGGAAUUGACGGGGGCCCGCACAAGCGGCAGAGCACUGUGGAUUAAUUCGAUGCAACGCGAAGAACCUUACCUGGGUUUGACAUACACCGGAAAACCGUAGAGAUACGGUCCCCCUUGUGGUCGGUGUACAGGUGGUGCAUGGCUGUUGUCAGCUCGUGUCGUGAGAUGUUGGGUUAAGUCCCGCAACGAGCGCAACCCUUGUCUUAUGUUGCCAGCGCGUUAUGGCGGGGACUCGUAAGAGACUGCCGGGGUCAACUCGGAGGAAGGUGGGGACGACGUCAAGUCAUCAUGCCCCUUAUGUCCAGGGCUUCACACAUGCUACAAUGGCCAGUACAGAGGGCUGCGAGACCGUGAGGUGGAGCGAAUCCCUUAAAGCUGGUCUCAGUUCGGAUCGGGGUCUGCAACUCGACCCCGUGAAGUCGGAGUCGCUAGUAAUCGCAGAUCAGCAACGCUGCGGUGAAUACGUUCCCGGGCCUUGUACACACCGCCCGUCACGUCAUGAAAGUCGGUAACACCCGAAGCCGGUGGCCUAACCCUUGUGGAGGGAGCCCUCGAAAGUGGGAUCGGCGAUAGGGACAAAAUCUUAACACGGUAACCGUAAAAA